UGUUUCACAAAUUAACAAAAAUUUGUCAUUUUGGAUGGGUACGUCUUUAAUCCAAGUGGACAAAUAAACACUGUUGAGCUGCCACAUCAAUUUUUCGUCGCAUACUUGGAAUUUUUCGUUAAUUAAGGGUAAUAGGUUGGAAAUGAGUGAUGGAUGUGUAAACCCGUAAAUAGAUGAGUGUGUAGUGGGUUACCAUUUUUUGUUCAAAGAACAAGUAGUAACCCAGGGUGAAAUUCAGUGAGCAUUCAUUUAAUUAACUCAUGUACAAGUUUGUGCUUGUCAAGCUACUAAGCAACCAUUUGUUCCUUUUGCUGAUUAUCAUUUCUGAGAGAUGUCGAUUUUUGGUUUUUGAGUAUGAAAUCUGAGAUCAAUCAACUACUACAUGGUAUAUAAUGAACAUAAAUAUAUCUGCAAUUUCAGGAAUUAGUGAUGCAGUGCAUAAGCAACCAUAUAGCCUUUUUACGUGUUCGAUUUUCAUAGUUAAUUUUCUUACUAUAUGAAGUUCAUUUACGUGUUCGAUUUUUAUUAUUGGAUUUGUAGGGAUAGGUGCAGGACACUUGUCAGGGACUCUAGAUCUUCCUACCCAAGGGGCAUGUAAAUAAAUUAGGACCUCUCGUAUCGUGCGUACUACUCGAGAGAACAUUAGAGUUUUAUAUAAUUAACUGAGCAUACCAGCUACAAGUUUUGGAGUCAAUAGUUGUUAGUUCAUGACAUCGGAU
rnacentral:lncRNA from 1 species